rnacentral:rRNA from 1 species
AGGAUGAACGCUGGCGGUCUGCUUAACACAUGCAAGUCGAACGGGCGUAGCAAUACGUUAGUGGCGGACGGGUGAGUAACGCGUGAGAAUCUACCUUCAGGACGGAGACAACAGUUGGAAACGACUGCUAACCCCCGAUGUACUGAAAAGGCAAAUAUUUAUAGCCUGAAGAAGAGCUCGCGUCCGAUUAGCUAGUUGGAGAGGUAAAAGCUCACCAAGGCGACGAUCGGUAGCUGGUCUGAGAGGACGAUCAGCCACACUGGGACUGAGACACGGCCCAGACUCCUACGGGAGGCAGCAGUGGGGAAUUUUCCGCAAUGGGCGAAAGCCUGACGGAGCAAGACCGCGUGGGGGAAGAAGGCUCGUUGGGUUGUAAACCCCCUUUUUCUCUUGGGAAGAGCGCAAUGACGGUACCAGAGGAAUCAGCAUCGGCUAACUCCGUGCCAGCAGCCGC